CCCUUAGAUGUUCUGGGCCGCACGCGCGCUACACUGAUGCAUUCAACGAGUCUAAAACCUGCUCUGAUAGGGGUGGGUAAUCUUUUGAAUGUGCAUCGUGAUUGGGAUAGAUGAUUGCAAUUUUUCAUCUUCAACGAGGAAUGCCUAGUAAACGCAAGUCAUCAGCUUGCAUUGAUUACGUCCCUGCCCUUUGUACACACCGCCCGUCGCUCCUACCGAUUGAAUGAUCCGAUGAAUAUCAUGGAUUGAGGAUGCAAGUAGGUUCGCCUAUCUUCAUCUUCGAGAAGUGAAGUAAAUCUUAUCAUUUAGAGGAAGGAGAAUUCGUAACA
rnacentral:rRNA from 1 species